rnacentral:rRNA from 1 species
CCUACGGGAGGCAGCAGUGGGGAAUUUUGGACAAUGGGCGAAAGCCUGAUCCAGCCAUGCCGCGUGCAGGAUGAAGGCCUUCGGGUUGUAAACUGCUUUUGUACGGAACGAAAAGGUCUUUUCUAAUAAAGAAGGCUCAUGACGGUACCGUAAGAAUAAGCACCGGCUAACUACGUGCCAGCAGCCGCGGUAAUACGUAGGGUGCAAGCGUUAAUCGGAAUUACUGGGCGUAAAGCGUGCGCAGGCGGUUAUAUAAGACAGUUGUGAAAUCCCCGGGCUCAACCUGGGAACUGCAUCUGUGACUGUAUAGCUAGAGUACGGUAGAGGGGGAUGGAAUUCCGCGUGUAGCAGUGAAAUGCGUAGAUAUGCGGAGGAACACCGAUGGCGAAGGCAAUCCCCUGGACCUGUACUGACGCUCAUGCACGAAAGCGUGGGGAGCAAACAGGAUUAGAUACCCUGGUAGUCCACGCCCUAAACGAUGUCAACUGGUUGUUGGGUCUUCACUGACUCAGUAACGAAGCUAACGCGUGAAGUUGACCGCCUGGGGAGUACGGCCGCAAGGUUGAAACUCAAAUGAAAUUGACCGGNNGAGAGNGCGAGACGACACGAGGGAGGAGG